rnacentral:rRNA from 1 species
UAGGGAAUCUUCCGCAAUGGACGCAAGUCUGACGGAGCAACGCCUCGUGAGUGAAGAAGGAUUUCGGUUCGUAAAACUCUGUUGUUAGAGAAGAACAGCGCAUAGAGUAACUGUUAUGCGUGUGACGGUAUCUAACCAGAAAGCCACGGCUAACUACGUGCCAGCAGCCGCGGUAAUACGUAGGUGGCAAGCGUUGUCCGGAUUUAUUGGGCGUAAAGCGAGCGCAGGCGGUCAAUUAAGUCUGGUGUGAAAGCCCCCGGCUCAACCGGGGAGGGGCAUUGGAAACUGGUUGACUUGAGUGCAGAAGAGGAUGGUGAAAUUCCGAGGGUAGAGGUGAAAUGCGUAGAUAUAUGGAGGAACACCAGGGGCGAAGGGGACCCUCUGGUCUGUAACUGACGCUGAGGCUCGAAAGCGUGGGUAGCAAACAGG